GGUGGCUCAGUGGUAGAGUGCUUGCCUUACACGCAGUAAGGCCCUGGGUUCGAUUCCUCAGCACCA
rnacentral:tRNA from 1 species